rnacentral:tRNA from 1 species
GGGUGGUUGGUGUAGUGGUCAGCAUUGCUGCCUUCCAAGCAGCAGAGAUGGGUUCGAUUCCCGUACUACUCA